rfam:Streptomyces katrae strain NRRL ISP-5550 contig47.3, whole genome shotgun sequence.
GUGGCGGUGUAGUCCCAGGUGGCGUCGGCGUCGAGGAGGGCGUUCUCGCCGAAGCGCUCGCCGUCGGCGAGCACGGCCACGGCGACCUCGUCGCCGUACUUGCCGACGGAGGUCUGGCUGAUGCGGCCGUGGGCGAUGAGGUGGAUCUGGUCGGCGGGGGUGCCGCGUUCGACGAGGACCUCGCCGGCCCGGAAGUCGCGCUGGACGCAGCGGUCGGCGAGGGCGGUCAGCACCUGCACGUCGUCGAAGCCGCGCAGCAGGGCCAGCUCGCCGAGCUCCUGGGGGAUCACGCGGACGCUGGCGCCGUCCUGGACGAAGUCGAUGGUGCCGUCGCCGACGGUGUAGCUGAGGCGGCGGUUGACCCGGUAGGUGCCGCCCUUGGUCUCCACCCAGGGGAGCAUCCGCAGCAGCCACCGGGAGGUGAUCUCCUGCAUCUGCGGGGCGGACUUGGUGGUGGUGGCAAGGUUGCGGGCGGCGGCCGUGCUGAGGCUCCGCUGCUGGGGCGGUUCCU